GUUUCAAAUAUUUCAGGGUAAAAUAAUACUAAUGCAAGCUUAGUAUUUCACAUUGCAUUUUUCAUAGUCACAACUGGGAAGCAUUGCUUUAUACAGCUAACAAUUUUUAAAAUGCUUGUGUUAAAAUGUAAAUAUUAAAAUUUCACAACAUGAAUUUAAAAUAGAAAACAAAAAAAUAUCUUUUGCUGUAUUGCAAUUAUGACACUCGAAGAUAGCUGUAAAAAUUCCUGAUUUUCUAAUUUCCUGAUACCGGAAAACAGUAAACAAUACAACACACAUGUUUUAAAUAAGUGUAUGCAUACGUAAGUAUAUAAUAUAUUACAACUGAUAUCAAUAUUUACAACUUUUUUUACAACCUACACAAAUAAAUAACAAUGAGAACACACAGAAGGCUGUAUUACAAUGAGAACAUACAGAAGGCUCUAUUACAAUGAGAACACACAGAAGGAUGAAUGGAACACAUAAAAACAUAAAUUUAAACAAGAAUGUGUCCUCAGUACACGAAUGCCCCACUCGCACUAUCAUUUUCUAUGUUCAGUGGACCGUGAAAUUGGGGUAAAAUCUCUAAUUUGGCAUUAAAAUUAGAAAGAUCAUAUCAUAGGGAACAUGUGUACCAAGUUUGAAGUCGAUUGGACUUCAACUUCAUCAAAAACUACCUCGACCAAAAACUUUAACCUGAAGCGGGACAGACGGACGAACGAACGAACGAACGAACGAACGAACGAACGGACGAACGAACGAACGGACGCACAGACCAGAAAACAUAAUGCCCCUCUACUAUCGUAGGUGGGGCAUAAAAACAAGAAUGUGUCCAUAGUACACGGAUGCCCCACUCGCACUAUCAUUUUCUAUGUUCAGUGGACCGUGAAAUUGGGGUCAAAAAUUAUAAUUCGGAAUUAUAAUUAGAAAGAUCAUAUCAUAGGGAACAUGUGUACUAAGUUUCAAGUUGAUGUAACUUUAACUUCAUCAAAAACUACCUUGACCAAAAACUUUAACCUGAACUUCGCACUAUCAUUUUCUAUGUUCAGUGGACCAUGAAAUUGGGGUCAAAACUAUAAUUAGGCAUUAAAAUUAGAAAGAUCAUAUCAUGGGGAACAUGUGUACUAAGUUUCAAGUUGAUUGGACUUCAACUUCUUCAAAAACUACCUUGACCAAAAACUUAAACCUGAAGCGAACGGACAGACGGACGCACAGACGGACGCAAGGAGGCACAGACCAGAAAACAUAAUGCCCCUCUACUAUCGUAGGUGGGGCAUAAAAAAGCUUACUGUAAAUGCAGAAUUUAUUGCGAUGUUUCUAUUUCUGCGAAAAAUGCAACUCCGUCUAUUAAUUUACACAAUUUAAACUCGCAUUUAAUAGAAUUUCAUAUGAUAUAAGCAGGAUUUUUCAUGAUUUCACAAAAACUAAAAUCUCUUUCAAGUCUAAAAUGUAAAAACCGCAAUAAUAAAUGCACGCAAUAAUUUCUGAAUUUACAGUAUAUUAAUGUGCAAAAUCAAUGCUGUGUCUCCAUGUGUACAUAGAUCCUAUAUAUAGCUAACUAUGAGGGUCGAGAUGAGGGUUCUUCAUUUCUUUAUUAUUAUACUUUAUCCAUUUUUCUUAGUAAAUUUUGCUCACUUUUCUAUUUCCUAUAUCUUUUUGGCCUAUUUUUCUUUUUUCUUAAAUUUUUAGGCCCAUUUUUCCUGUAGCAUGAGUCUCAUAUUUUCUAUAAUGUAAACCUCAUUCCGACUCUCAACUACAGAGCAUUUCCUCAAAGCACAUUUUAUCACAGAGCUUUGUUAUGCCUCUCUAUAUCACUACAUUGCUUCAACCUAAUAAUUCAUUAAUUUUUAUUGAAGUUUUCUAUAAAUUCCAUCUAAAAUUAAUGCGUUUACCCUAAUUUCGCAUGUGUUCCUUAAACUUCAAAAUAAAAACAAAUUCCUUUAUUUGAAUAAAAAUAUCAGAAUCUCGUUUUUCUUUUCAACCAACAGAAGGAGACCCUCGAAAAAAUUGGUAAAUUGAGAAAAACUCACAAAAAAAAGAGGUAUUAAAUAAUUUAAA
rnacentral:lncRNA from 1 species